rnacentral:rRNA from 1 species
CACGCCGUAAACGAUGAAUACUAGGUGUCGGGCGUCAAAACUCGGUGCCGCAGCUAACGCAUUAAGUAUUCCGCCUGGGGAGUACGCACGCAAGUGUGAAACUCAAAGGAAUUGACGGGGACCCGCACAAGCAGCGGAGCAUGUGGUUUAAUUCGAAGCAACGCGAAGAACCUUACCAGGUCUUGACAUCCUCUUGCAAGCAUCUUAGCCGAUGCCCUCCUUCGGGACAAGAGAGACAGGUGG